AUCUUGUAGCAUGUCCCUGUGUAUCUGAGGCCUUCUGAAUGUCAUGUAAUUGCCAGGGGGAUCUGAAUAGUAUUUUUUUUACAAGAAAAAGAGAAUGCGUAGUCCAUUCUGGAAGGGAUAAAUGAAGAAGCAGUCCAUGAGACUUUUCUGGAGGUAACUGAUCCAUGGCAGAUUCCAUUAAUAUAUCCACAACAACAGUGUUCCUUUCUUCAGAAGCUACCAAUGAAGACUGCAAGACAAAGCAGAAUUUCACCUAAUUCUCCAGGCCCAUCUCCAUCGUGCCUGACUCCUGGGUACUAUGAAGAAAAAAAAGAUGACAGCAGCCCAUAUAGUAUUUGCACUACUGUUCAUCGAUGUUUAACGGAGAUCAGGAAGGAAGGUCCAGCCACUGCACAGUUCUGAAAGGAAUAGCUGUGUACAGAUCUAUUGCAGCUCCAGUUGAUGCACAGCAACAGCAGCACUACCAAUCUUCUGUAAGGUUCACCUUCUGUAAGGAGGGGCUUCAACUCUGACAUUCUGUUGGACUUUGUAAAUGGCUUGAGGAAAAAAGAGAUGAAUUUGGAGACCAUCAGGAUCACUUUCAGCAGGAUUUGACCCAAGGUCCACGGAGAGUUACUUGUUUAAUUGCAUUUCUCCAUGAUUUCAUUUCUGGACAAUAUCCUGAGAGCAACAGACAUCAUAUUCCAAGUUAGUAUAUUUCACAAUAAUCCCAAGGACACUUGUAUUGUAAAGCACUAUAGUUUGACACUAUCAAAUGUCUCCUUGAACCAUGAUGUGGGCACUUAAAAAAAAAAAAAAAAAAAACUGAAGAAGAGAGAAACUAUUCUCUCCCUGAUUUUUAUUUCUUAUAUGAAGUAUCAAUUACUGUGGUGUGCAAAGCACACCAUUCAUUCCUAGUGGACUGUAUAGGUUUGAAUACUGAAAAUACACCUUGAAGUAUGUAAAUGCUCAUGUGAGAAGUCACAUAUUCAAAGCCAGUUGCAAGGAUAAGUCCCUCUUCUGUGAUAAGUGGUCAUUUGUGGUGUAAAUCGAUUCUCUCAUAUGCACUACAAUUUUAGAAGUUAUCUGAAUAAAACCUUUUGCAAACUGAAUAGAAUGAAAUGAACUACAGAGUAUAAGAAAUAUAGAUAGAAAAAAGUGUAGACAUUUUUUAUCAGACAUUGUUACUGUCUCUUCUCUGAAACAAACAGUAAUAGAAUUCUAUCUAAUGUACAUAAGCUAAUCCAAAAAGAGAAAAAAGAUCUACAAAUACCUGUUCAAGACUUUCAUAUUAGUCUCCCCAUCUUCCUUUUUCUGAGUACUUCUGUAGAGCCAUUAAAUAGUACUUUCCUUACAAGAUGCUGAUGAGGAAGUCUUAAGAAAAAAAGCUUCUUCCCAUUGAUCACAUCAAAAUAUAAAUUGUAUUAAGGUGAUUUGUUCUGAAAUUGAAGGCCCUUUAGUAGUACUCUUUUUCUCUUUUUGCUACUGGAAGGUCCAUAACUGGCUUAGGUGUGCCAUCUUCUGGAUAACUGCAGAACUAUCUUUAUGCAGGAAGAGCUUAUAUUGAGAAACAUUAGUAAUUAUCAGUGCUCUGGAAUAAUUUGCUAAUUGCUUCCCAGAAGUAAUUUUCUUUCUUACUUCAUAUAAUUUAGAACAAAGCAAAAAGUUAUGAAUUAUUAAUAACAUGUCAUAUUUAGCAUUUAUGAAUAAUCGGUAGAUCGCACCAAGAGGUCUUUGUAAGUGUGGUCCCAACAGGCAAAGGAGAAAUGUAGAAACAUAUCCUUCAGAGUAGGACAUGCUUUGUGAGCCCAGGACUCAGCUCACUGCCCAUAAUGUAACUGGAAAAGCAGGUUCCUACCACAAGACUCAAGCAAAUCAAAGCGGGCGCCUGAAAUGUUAGAUAGUGGAGGUUUUCAAGUGUCUUCUCUUUCUUGAGAAUUAUACCACUCCCUAAGAUUCGUGUCCUCAGGCUAGAGUUAAGCACUUACAGCAAACACUUAUUCUAAACAUCAAGAAAUUACCAGGUCGGUGUGCCAUGUUUUGCUGGCAGGGCAGGAGCACCAAGAUUUCCAUUUUGAACUCUUCUCAUCACUUUUGAAAAGCAUUAAAUGAUGGGAGUGUGAAAGGCAGAAAUGGCUGCUGCACCACCACAUCCUUGUGUCAUGUGCCCGUGCUCUGUGCCCUCUCGCUUUUCCCCAGGCAGCAGCUUUCUAAAUGCAAUUACAGGGUAAGAUGGAAAGCCACAUGGAAUGGCAUAAUUCUCCUUUCAUUCUGAGAUUUCAGCAGCAUAACACGUCAGUUAACAAAGAAAUGCCUAUUUUCAUUUUCUGUAAAGGUAAAUCCAGGUUGAACUGGGUUGAGAAACUUUGCCAGGACCACAGGUGCUCCAUCUGUUCCCUGCUUCCUCCCAGCAAACAGGGAGAGAAGCCCCUAGCCAGGCCCAUGCUUUACUAAGCAACACCAAUCCAACAUUCUAUUACAAAGCAUAUAUGUGAAAUACAGCAACUCCUAAGGCUUCACUGGAAGUGACUAAUUGUAGCCCACUCAGCAUGUGGUUUACUCUUCACUUAUAAAAAGUCUUCUCGCUUAUUUGUUUUUUAAAUUACUACUUUUAAUAGCUUAAUUGGGACAAAUGUGUCCUUCAGAAGGGAGGAGAUGACCCUAAACUGGCCCAGAAAAGGCUCUAUUACAGCUUAAACUACUUCUCAGCAGAGCAGAGGAAAUAGCAUGCAGGGAAUACGCUUUAUUUCUGAGACAAAAAGAUUUCCUGGAUUUCUUUACUAACGUGCUGACAUGCACUCUCUAUAGGGUCUUCCUGUGAUCAGUCUCUCUUGUUUCCUUUUAAACUCAGAGGCAGAAGCGUGGCUCCGGUGUGAUUAAUUUCCCCUUUCCUGAUUGUAUGUCAUUUACUUUUAAGUAAGGCUCUUAUAAAUGAGGCUAAACAAAGACAAAGAUGAAGACUGUGCGGAGAUAAACAUUUGUGCUGCUGGGACUCCCACUGACUUGGGCACAGCGGGGGCCAAAAGUAAUGGGGAUUCACAGGCAUCGUGAUUAGACCUCUCACUGUGAACAGGUAAUUGAAACACCGUAGCCCAUCACCAGCAUUUACGAGGUACUGUGAAGGUACUUGGUUUAAAGCACUCUCAAACUAGAUGCUUCUUACACUCCCUCUGCCAUUAGGUACGAACAAAGCACAAGCUCAGGCCAUCAAUACUAUCUAUUUUUGUUUGCAUGCACAGCGCUCCUGUGAUGCCACCCAGGCACUGUCCCCUGAGGAAGGGCAAUUUUGUGCAGUGACUUCUGUGGGUGUUGCAUGAGCUGUCUGCCUGGCCUUGGGGGGGCACCAGGCACAAGCAGAGAGGCUUUGAUAUGAUCUCAUUGAGUGUUUUGGUGUUUGUAAGCAUGACGUGCUGUAGACUCAAGGCAAUUUGUAAGCAAGAUGUGCUGUAGAGCCACAAGUUGACAUGAACACCACACACAGUACUUUCAUUAUUUCUUUUAAUCUCACAUAAUUUUCAGCAGAAAUACAGCACAACACAAUUUUAAUCUUGCAGUAUGGUUACAGUUUGCAGCCAUCUUGCUGUUGGCACUGCUGUGGAUGUGAAGUCUUCCAUCCAGAAUGAUGUGUUAAGGGCAGUUUUUUAAAUUAGUGAUUUACUGUGUAAAUAGAUCCUGCUGCUGGCUUUCAGGAGGACUUAGCUGCCUUCUAUUUAACUCCAUUCUUCAAUCACACUUGACUAAAGUUUCUAACCUUGAAUUAUUAGUAACAUCUGAAAGAAGUGUCAUGUAUUGUUUAAGUAAACUUUGGAACAGAAGAACAGCGCCUUAGAUACAAGACUUAGUGUGUGUCUCAGGCAGAACAUUUUUCUUAGCACAGAAGUCAAACAGAGCAGAAAUAGCACUGUGAGUAACUCCACCUCUUAGGCGUGCGUAACUUACCUAAUGGCAGAAUGCUCUAAUCUUCUUUCCUCAUUAGUGUUUUCUAACACCAAUAGCCACCAUGCUGCAACCGGCCAUUGGCCACUGCACACCAUCAAACAUGUACAAACCACGCUACUUAAAAGUAACACAUCUGUGGGUCCCGUACAGUGAGAUUUCAUGUUCCUUUCUUUACAAUGCUAUCUGCUUUAUCGGUGGUGCCGCACCUUCACCACCACCACCAACCUCCCAGCGUUUGUUUACAGGGUGUAAUAAUGCCAACAGCCACCAGAUGCCAGCAUGAGCAUGCCAUGGCUAAACGUGCGCCUGUUUCGUUUGGAUGGCAUUUACCUCUUACUGGGGUGCUUUAUCUCUUGCUUUGGCACCCCCAAAAUAUUUUCUGCCUCCAACUAAAUCUUUUCUGCCUCACUAAAGCUACAGCAAUGUAACUGCUUUAAAACCAGAGUCUUUUGGUACGGGAGAAGGCUGUUAUUUAGGGAUUUCACAGAGCAGCUGUUCUUUGCAGUUUCUUCCAGAAGCUAUCUGAAAUUCAGGGAUGAGAGAGUAAUGAAAGAACUAAGAGCUCUCAGUUCUGCCCAGCUGAAAGGGAGAACCUUUCAGGCAAUCUGUUCUUCCACAUGCCAGACUGGAGGGCAGAAACAAGGGCUGGCUGGCUGUUCUGAGGGGUUUAUUAAAAUGAGUUAUUAUGGGGGGGGGGGGGGCAUCAUUCAGUAGCUGUGGUUUCACUGGCAUUACAGCUAUUCCAGAAGAAAACCAAGUAUUUCUGCAUUGCCAGAUGGAACAGAAAGAAAUGAAAGAAGUGAAUGGAUUGUUCUGUAAAAUUUAGAUGGCUCAAAGCAAAGCUCAGUCCUUCGGUGUUUUGAUGUUUGUCUGUGAGGAUUUAUGGAUGUGGAUGGGGCUAUAUCAUCUUUUUUUCUGAUUGUCAUAUUCUUGUAUGAUUUUCCACAGAGGAGUUUUGAAAUGCUUAAAGAUUACAAAAAUAAUAAAGCAAAGGGACUUUCAGAAAUAAGGAAAUGCCAUUUUUUCCCUUUGAAUUUUCCUCCCUUCGUUUCCUCCUUGGUCAGUCUGAGCUGAAUAUAUGAAUAUGCAGAGUGUGAAAAUAUUUAAGAUGCAUUUAUCCACAGGAAUGUGGCUAAAAUGUACCUCUGCAAGCAUCUACCUGUAUGCCUUUGCUAUCCAUUGGAUCAUGAUCUAACUGAGAUUGUAACAGAGAAUGUGAAAUGUAUUGAUCAGUGCAUUAAAAUAAAACUGAGUGUGAUAUUUGCAUCUAUAUUGAUGCC